CAGGGCCUCUGGGAGUGGCUGCCAGGCCUGCACUAUGUACUGCUAAGUCAAUUUGUGGAUUUAAGUAGCAGGUCAAUUCUAUCAAAUGCUGCUGGGUCACUGAAUAAAUUGAGGACAAUGGCAACAGGAAAGCUACCUCUGACCUUGACAAAGCAAUUUCAAUGGAGUAGGUAGGUGAAUUAGGAAGCAAAGCUAAAGAAGCAUUGAAAAGUAAAAGGAAAGUGAAUGAAAAGAGAUGAUAUGUGGAAGCAGUUUAGGGAUGAAGAAGAAGAAAAUUUAAGCUGGUAGCUGGAGAGCAAUGAGGGAUUCAGGGACGUUUUCUUGUUUUGUAUUUAACGGAAAUAGAAGAGGAUGCUUUUAUGCUGAUUCAGUAGAAAGAGAAAAGUUGAUGAUGUGGAUGUUCUACAACUGCUUCAGAUUCAACACUUCCAGUAUUCAAUUACUCAUCAUCCCACUUCUCUCCCCUCCCUUCAAUCUGUCUAUCCGGAUUUCAUCCCCAAAUCAAUGUAUAGAUCCUCCACCUACAGUCUCCUAAGCCAAAAGUCACCACAGAGUGCCUCUUCUCUAGCAUUUUCCAUUUGCAGUCCAUCGCUAAGUGCUACAAAAUUUACCUUCUAAAUUAAAAACAGUCUUCUCCUUUUCCCCAUUCUAGUGCAAAUGUACUGAUUUAGACAAUCACUCUCUCUCAGAUGCAUACAUUUUAUGGCUUCUAUUUGAUCUCCACCUCUAGUGAUACUCUGUAAAAUCUACCUUCUAUGUUGUGCCAAAUCACUCUCCAACACACAUGUCAAUCACCUGCUUAAAAUCCUCUUAUGGUUUCCCAACAACUAACCCUAAUCUCUAAGCUUAAAAUUUUGGGACAUUCUCUGAGUAGUCUUCAGCAAUAGUUCUACUUAUAUAUCCUGGCACACCCUACACUGUUUCAAACCUCCAACUAACUCUUGGCUAAAACUGCCCCCAUUUGACCUUCUUGCUAUUUUUUAAAAAUUCAGGUCAACAAUCAUCUACCCCUGGAAGUUUCUGCCUUCUCAGCGUCAUCAUCCUGAACCCUUUCUCUAUGCUUCUAUGGUAGGCACAAUCCUAAUAUGAUCCCACAAGAUUUUCUGCCUAAUUCCCAGGACUGUGAAUAUGAUAAGAAUUCAUUCAGAUUAUGUUAAUUAAUAUAAGUAAUUUUGCAGAUGUAGUUAAAGUUACUAAUUAGUUGACUGUGAGUUAAUAAAAGAAGAGAUUAUCUAGGUGGGACAUAAUCCAGUCACAUGAGCCCUUUAAAUAGCAAAGAGUUCUCUCUUGCUGGUGGCAGAAGAGGAAGUCAGUGAGAGUCCAAGAAUGGGAAGGAUUCAAAGCAUCAUUGCUGACUUAAAGAAAUGGCAUGGGACCACAUGAUAAAGAACAGGGCGGGCCUCUAGAAGCCAGAGUGACCCCCAGCUGACAGCCAACAAGGAAACAAAAACCUCAGGCCUACUGUACCACCACAAGGGACUAGAUCCUGCGAGAAACUUGAAUGAGCUGGGAAGUGGAUUCUCUCCCAGACCUUCCAGAUAAGAGCCCAGACUGUCUGAUACCUUGAUUUUUGGCCUUGUGAGACCCUAAGAAGACACUUCAAUCAAGCUUGCUGAGACAUAUAACUUACAGAACUCCAAGAUAGUACAUCGUGCUGUUUUAAGGUGCUCAGUUUCUGGUGAUUUGUCACAAAGCAAUCAAAGACCAGUUCAACUCCAUAGCUUCAUAAUUAUGUUGACUCUUUUGUACUUUAUGCUUAUAGUGGGUGCUUGCUUCCCAAUUAGUUUGUGAGCUUUUUAGGAUAGAAAAUAUGUGUUAAGUGACGUUUGUAUUCCCGGCAUGUAUUAAUAACACAGUACUUGGCCCAACACAUUUGAGGGGGAUUACUGUCAAUUGAGUCCAUGGGAAGAAAACAUUGAGAUAGAGUUUUGAUUGGAGUGCAAGGAGUUCAUGGGGGGCAGGGAGGACAGAGGUAACAUCCGUGAAAGAUAAAAAGCAGAAGAAGCUGAACUGACCAUUGAAAGCUUCCAGCCUGUAAUACAGAUCUACAACCCAGAGCAAUGAAUCUGGAGCUCCAGAACAAUGAGUACCCAUGAGAGGAGUCCCAUGUUGGGCAGAAAUGGCCAGGUCUAGAGUAUCCCCAUCCAGUAAUUGGCUGGGGGCUGCCCAGAAAGAUCAUUGUCUUGGCUUGAAAGCUGAGGUGAAUCCUGAAGGUGCUAACAGCUGGAAGCUGUCAGCUAACUGCACUUCUUUCAGGUGAAUAUGCAAGUUCUUCCUGGAAGAAAAAUCUAAGCAGCACACAUCGACAGCCGCCACUGUAAAAAACAUCACUAUCUCUUAGGAACAUAAUGUAAGCUCUAUUCAUCAAAGACGAACUAUAAUGUUUUCUUCCAGAAAGAAUACAAUGAAGAAAAGACUCCAAAAUGAUAAUAUCAUGCCUCUAAAAUUUAGUUAAGAAUCUCACUAUUUUACAGCAAAAGUUGUAAUGAUUAUACAAGCUUUGAUAUUGAUGGUUGUGUUUCUUCCAAAGCAGAGAAUUAUUAGUCAAUUAUAACUUUCUCAAGGUUUUGGCAAAGAAAAAUAUUUUUACCUCAAGGGCGUAUGUUCAGCAUAGUGAAAAAUGUGUUUUAGUAAACACCAAUGAUUACUUUUAAAAGAGUUUGGUUUUCUUAGUGUCAUUCAAAUGAAAAUUUAAAAAGAAAACCCUAUUUUCUUAGAUUGCUCUGUCUGAAUUCAUGUGUCUUUGUUCUUGAGGCUGUAUUUCUCAUUUAUUUUAACAACUCUAUGUGGAAUUGAAUAGGUGUGAAUUCUGAGCAAAACUAUUCAAAGCUUCCAUUAUCAUUUCACAAGUGUCACAAAUAAUUAUAAGUUGUUCUUUCAUUUUUAAAGGAGAAGUUUGGCAAUGUACUAAAGGAAGCAUUAUCUUCAAAGAUUGCUGCCAAAACUUGUUCUUUGAUGACUCUCAUAUUUGAGAGUAUUGACAACAUAUCACUGGAAAAUAUGAUAACUAAGGAUACAUUUUCCCCAAACCUCCUAUAUUGUUUUAUGCAUGUGAAUGUAAAAAUUCCCACUACAGAUUGUUCCCAGAAAUAUAGUGUUAGACUGAAUUAUAACAAAUGACAUUUUCACAAUCAUGAGCCUGAAUGAGACUUAAUGUCUUCUGAUGUCUUUAGUGAUAUUGGUUUCCUGCCACCAACAUCUCCCAAACCAACUUCUGGC
rnacentral:lncRNA from 1 species